UACGAAGGGGGCUAGCGUUGCUCGGAAUCACUGGGCGUAAAGCGCACGCAGGCGGCUUUCUAAGUCAGGGGUGAAAUCCUGGAGCUCAACUCCAGAACUGCCUUUGAUACUGGAGAGCUUGAGUCCGGGAGAGGUGAGUGGAACUCCGAGUGUAGAGGUGAAAUUCGUAGAUAUUCGGAAGAACACCAGUGGCGAAGGCGGCUCACUGGCCCGGUACUGACGCUGAUGUGCGAAAGCGUGGGGAGCAAACAGG
rnacentral:rRNA from 1 species